rnacentral:rRNA from 1 species
AUUGAACGCUGGCGGCAUGCCUUACACAUGCAAGUCGAACGGCAGCGGGGGAGAAGCUUGCUUUUCCUGCCGGCGAGUGGCGAACGGGUGAGUAACAUAUCGGAACGUACCCAGUAAUGGGGGAUAACUAACCGAAAGGUUAGCUAAUACCGCAUACGCCCUGAGGGGGAAAGCGGGGGACCGUAAGGCCUCGCGUUAUUGGAGCGGCCGAUAUCUGAUUAGCUAGUUGGUAGGGUAAAGGCCUACCAAGGCGACGAUAAGUAGCAGGUCUGGGAGGAUGAUCUGCCACACUGGAACUGAGACACGGUCCAGAAUCCUACGGGAGGCAGCAGUGGGGAAUUUUGGACAAUGGGCGAAAGCCUGAUCCAGCCAUUCCGCGUGAGUGAAGAAGGCCUUCGGGUUGUAAAGCUCUUUCGGCAGGGAAGAAACGGUCUAGGUUAAUACCUUGGGCCAAUGACGGUACCUGAAGAAGAAGCACCGGCUAACUACGUGCCAGCCGCCGCCGUAA